AUUAGACCUCAACAUUCGUCAGGGUCUUAUUGACUUUACCCACUAAUAAGUCAACAUUUGACUGACGCACCCUACUUUUUAGGUUAGAGUAGGCCAGAAAGGUAAACAAAUAGUAUCAAAGUCUAACACAGCACACAUAUCACCAUUCUUUUUUUAGAUCUUCAGCAGAGUGCUGGUAACUCGUAUACGUAAAUUAAAGAUUUUUAUCAUCGGUCAUGAGAUAAAGUUGCAUGUUUACCUGGUUGGUUCGUCAAGAAAGAGGAUGUCUGGAUUGUCCAGCAACUCCAGUCCGAUCGAAAGCCUUUUGCAUUCGCCACCCGACAAGCAGCCGAUUUGCGUACGUCUGCUUUCCGUUAACCCCAGCGUUUU
rnacentral:lncRNA from 1 species